rnacentral:rRNA from 1 species
AGUGAACGCUGGCGGUAGGCCUAACACAUGCAAGUCGAACGGCAGCACAGUAAGAGCUUGCUCUUACGGGUGGCGAGUGGCGGACGGGUGAGGAAUACAUCGGAAUCUACUUUUUCGUGGGGGAUAACGUAGGGAAACUUACGCUAAUACCGCAUACGACCUACGGGUGAAAGCAGGGGAUCUUCGGACCUUGCGCGAUUGAAUGAGCCGAUGUCGGAUUAGCUAGUUGGCGGGGUAAAGGCCCACCAAGGCGACGAUCCGUAGCUGGUCUGAGAGGAUGAUCAGCCACACUGGAACUGAGACACGGUCCAGACUCCUACGGGAGGCAGCAGUGGGGAAUAUUGGACAAUGGGCGCAAGCCUGAUCCAGCCAUACCGCGUGGGUGAAGAGGGCCUUCGGUUUGUAAAGCCCUUUUGUUGGGAAAGAAAAGCAGCAGGUUAAUACCCCGCUGUUCUGACGGUACCCAAAGAAUAAGCACCGGCUAACUUCGUG